AUGCUCUUGCUGAGGCUUUCGAGAAGCUCGCUAAGAUCCUCGCCGAGUCCAACUCUGGGGCCAUCGUUCCUCGAGGAAGUGGCUCAAACCAAUUAUUUGAGCUGGUCCAAGAGGGCUUUGUGGGCUGUGGAGCAGAAGGAGCUUGAUGGACAUUUGUUGGGCACCGUUGUAGAACCAGGGGACAAGAGUAGUGCAGAGGGCAAGAGGUGGAAGGUCAUCCACUCUGUACUUAUGGUGUGGUUGUUGAACUCCAUGGUGCCCUCCAUUGGACGCUCUGUGGAGGGGCUAUCCACACCUGCUGAGAUAUGGAAGAUUCUAUCCACCCAUUACUCUGGCAAGGGCAAUGUCAUGCUUAUUGCUCAGAUUGAGGACAAGAUUAGGUUGCUGCAAGAUGAUGGCAUGUCAGUGAUGACAUACGUGGCAGAACUGCAGGCUUUCUGGGCUAACCAGGAUAACUGUGAUCCCCUGGAACUCUAUGACGCGGCUUCAAUCGAGUCAAGGCACAAGUGGAUGGCACGCAGGCGUGUACUGAAAUUUUUGGCUGGCCUCAAAAGUUGCUUUGAUGCCGGGAAGGCUUCCCUGUUGCACCAACCUAAUCAGCCUACCAUUCCCGAGGCUAUUGCAGCGAUGACUCAAGAGGAGGUGCGCCUAUCUCUUGAGCAUGCAGACGUGAAGGUUGUGCCAGCUUCGACCUUUGCAGUCACUGAGCGCAUGGAGUGUGGAGGUAGGUCACUGGAAGAGAGAAUGUCCAACUCGUGGCAGAGGUAG
rnacentral:rRNA from 1 species